GACGAACGCUGGCGGCGUGCUUAACACAUGCAAGUCGAACGCUGAAGCUUGGUGCUUGCACUGGGUGGAUGAGUGGCGAACGGGUGAGUAAUAAGUGAGUAACCUGCCCUUGACUCUGGGAUAAGCAUGGGAAACUGGGUCUAAUACUGGAUACGACAUGUCACCGCAUGGUGGUGUGUGGAAAGGGUUUUACUGGGUUUGGAUGGGCUCACGGCCUAUCAGCUUGUUGGUGGGGUAAUGGCUCACCAAGGCGACGACGGGUAGCCGGCCUGAGAGGGUGACCGGCCACACUGGGACUGAGACACGGCCCAGACUCCUACGGGAGGCAGCAGUGGGGAAUAUUGCACAAUGGGCGGAAGCCUGAUGCAGCGACGCCGCGUGAGGGAUGACGGCCUUCUGGUUGUAAACCUCUUUCAGCUCGGAAGAAGCGAAAGUGACGGUACGUGCAGAAGAAGCGCCGGCUAACUACGUG
rnacentral:rRNA from 1 species